UACGUAGGGUGCAAGCGUUAAUCGGAAUUACUGGGCGUAAAGCGUGCGCAGGCGGUUGUGCAAGACCGAUGUGAAAUCCCCGGGCUUAACCUGGGAAUGGCAUUGGUGACUGCACGGCUAGAGUGUGUCAGAGGGGGGUAGAAUUCCAUGUGUAGCAGUGAAAUGCGUAGAGAUGUGGAGGAAUACCGAUGGCGAAGGCAGCCCCCUGGGAUAACACUGACGCUCAUGCACGAAAGCGUGGGGAGCAAACAGG
rnacentral:rRNA from 1 species